ACUCCAGACUCCUACGGGAGGCAGCAGUGGGGAAUAUUGGGCAAUGGGCGCAAGCCUGACCCAGCAACGCCGCGUGAAGGAAGAAGGCUUUCGGGUUGUAAACUUCUUUUCUCAGGGACGAAGAAAGUGACGGUACCUGAGGAAUAAGCCACGGCUAACUACGUGCCAGCAGCCGCGGUAAUACGUAGGGGGCAAGCGUUAUCCGGAUUUACUGGGUGUAAAGGGGGCGCAGACGGCGAUGCAAGCCAGGAGUGAAAGCCCACGGCCCAACCGUGGGACUGCUCUGGAAACUGUGCGGCUUGAGUGCGGGAGGGGCAGGCGGAAUUCCUAGUGUAGCGGUGAAAUGCGUAGAUAUUAGGAGGAACACCGGCGGCGAAGGCGGCCUGCUGGACCGUAACUGACGUUGAGGCUCGAAAGCGUGGGGAGCAAACAGGAUUAGAUACCCCAGUA
rnacentral:rRNA from 1 species